rnacentral:lncRNA from 1 species
GUAAUACCUAAAUAAAUUUACAGGGAUAACAAUUUCCUCUCUUUCUGCCUCAACCCACCGUCAUCUCUGAGUCACGGUGAAGAGAGCAUAUGUACAAAAAAAAGGUGAUGAAGGAAAAAUUAAUAGCAACAAAAAUGCUUAGAUCAGCGACAUCGAAGGAGCUUACAGUUGGUGAUAUGACGAAGACCAAUUUUUUUUCUUUACUCAUUUUUGCCGCCUUUGAAUCAAGAUUCUCUGCUUUUAGAUUCGCCGGCUUCAUCCUCACCGACGUCGUCAUCUGUGUGUCGCCUCUGCUUCAUUACCUUCCUUUUAUUUGUGCCUAUCGUUGUUCCAUCUAAUUGUAUCGCCGUCG